UGCUUCUCUGCCUAAUUCAUGGUUACAUCUUUUUUUGAAAAGGAGGAAACGAGUCCUCGGACUCUGCAUCAAUCGAUGCAUGCAGCCAUAAUUGAUGGUUACAUCUAGUUGUGUUUGCAUAUAUUCCGCAUCUGGACUUUCGAUUAAGAUGUAUUCCAUUGCUUUGUUCUGCAAGAGUUUUAACCUUGGUGGUGGAUAUGUGAUCUGUCCUUGGUGGAGAUGUAGAUUGCACCGACGGGGUAAUUAACGCUCUCCUCUGUUGAACUUGCAACCGAUUGGUUUUUUUGUUUUGUUUUUUUUCUUGCGGGGGGCUCGUAACCGAUGGUUGAUGGAUACUUCUUGCAGAUCUGUAGAUCUUGCUUUUUUAAGUGGAGUUAUGUGACCAGUUGCCCAUAGGAUGCAUUGGCGCCUCCCCCCAUUUUUGUCCAUCUGCUCUUAGUUGCUCUAUUUCUUCUGAACGCUUCGUGUACUUGGCAUUUCAUCACCCUUUUGGAUUGAAUCUGGCUUACUGUGAUUCUAUUUUCGAUUUAUACAUGGUGACGUCUCGUCACAUGCCUGGCUUGAAUCUGGGUGAAGCUUCUACGCUUGAUUUAUGGUGACAUAGCUAGUUGUAUUUGUGUAGUU
rnacentral:lncRNA from 1 species